GCCCUGUCCAACGUCCCUUUGAUGCGGUGCAGUUGUCCUAUCCCCUUAGCAGAAAAAAACACCCCCAAAACAUAAUGUUUCCACCUCCAUGUUUGACAGUGAGGUAAUAGGCAGCAUUCCUCCUCCUCCAAACACGGUGUGUUGAGUUGAUGCCAAAGAGCUUGAUUUUGGUCUCAUCUGACCACAACACUUUCACCCAGUUCACCUCUGAAUCAUU